GCGGGCCGUGGGAGCGGUAGCCCGGAGAUGGGCACUGAGACAAGGGCCCAGGCCCUACGGGGCGCAGCAGUCGCGAAAACCCCGCAAUAAGCGAAAGCUUGACGGGGCUAUCCCGAGUGCCGUCUGCUGAAGAUGGCUUUUACCCAGUGUAGAUAGCUGGGAGAAUAAGGAGAGGGCAAGUCUGGUGUCAGCCGCCGCGGUAAUACCAGCUCUCCGAGUGGUGGGGAUAAUUAUUUGGCCUAAAGCAUCCGUAGCCGGCUGAGCAAGUCCUCCGUUAAAUCCAGCGACUAAUCGUUGGCCUGCGGGGGAUACUGUUUGGCUAGGGGG
rnacentral:rRNA from 1 species